UGAGAUACAUUGGAACAGACAAGACCAUAUGCCUGAAGCCUCACACCUUUACUAAAUCUGGUGACAUGCAGGAAAAACAUAUUUAUAGCAUUUUAAUGUGUUCACGGCUCAGAGCACUUUGUACCCCAAGCUUUCAGUCUGUAAUUCCUUGAGGAGUCUUUUCAGUGCAUAGGUUUUGCAGGUACACUGAGAUCAAUGCUAGGGUGACUUCAUCAUUACCCAAAGUCAGUUCAGAUAUGUCUGCUUGAGAAUCCAUCACACCUUGCCUGAAGCUGGAAGCUCCUGCAAAUAGCCUGUUGCACAGAUAGGCUUUAGGAAUGAUAAAAUAUUUUGCCCAAGG